GCCACCAUAGCUCAGAGAAUAGAGCACUGGUCUCGUAAACCAGGGGUCGCGAGUUCGAAUCUCGCUAGUGGCU
rnacentral:tRNA from 13 species